UAUUAGGUUGGUGUAAAAGUAAUUGCGGUUUUGCCAUUAAAAGUAAUUGUGGUGCCCUCUUUUAAUGGUAAAACCGCAAUUACUUUUGCACCAACCUAAUAC
rnacentral:miRNA from 1 species